rnacentral:rRNA from 1 species
CCCGUAGUCGAAAGUGCAUUCCCUCCAGAGUGGAUCCUGAGUACGGCGGAACACGUGAAAUUCCGUCGGAAUCCGGGAGGACCAUCUCCCAAGGCUAAAUACUCCCUAGUGACCGAUAGUGAACCAGUACCGUGAGGGAAAGGUGAAAAGCACCCCGGAAGGGGAGUGAAAUAGAACCUGAAACCGUGUGCCUACAAAUUGUCAGAGCCCGUUAAUGGGUGAUGGCGUGCCUUUUGUAGAAUGAACCGGCGAGUUACGAUUCCAUGCAAGGUUAAGCUGAGAAAGCGGAGCCGCAGCGAAAGCGAGUCUGAAUAGGGCGCAUGAGUAUGGGGUCGUAGACCCGAAACCAGGUGAUCUACCCAUGUCCAGGGUGAAGGUCAGGUAACACUGACUGGAGGCCCGAACCCACGUAUGUUGAAAAAUGCGGGGAUGAGGUGUGGGUAGCGGUGAAAUUCCAAUCGAACCUGGAGAUAGCUGGUUCUCUCCGAAAUAGCUUUAGGGCUAGCCUCAAACGAAAGAAUCUCGGAGGUAGAGCACUGUUUGGACGAGGGGCCCAUCCCGGGUUACCGAAUUCAGACAAACUCCGAAUGCCGAUGAUUUAUGUUUGGGAGUCAGACGGUGGGUGAUAAGAUCCAUCGUCGAGAGGGAAACAGCCCAGACCACCAGUUAAGGUCCCCAAGUAUCCGUUAAGUGGAAAAGGAUGUGGCGCUGCCCAGACAACCAGGAUGUUGGCUUAGAAGCAGCCAUCAUUUAAAGAGUGCGUAAUAGCUCACUGGUCGAGUGGCGCUGCGCCGAAAAUGUACCGGGGCUAAACGGAUCACCGAAACUGUGGAUUGACGCAAGUCAAUGGUAGGAGAGCGUUCCAAGGGCGUUGAAGCUAGACCGGAAGGACUGGUGGAGCGCUUGGAAGUGAGAAUGCCGGUAUGAGUAGCGAAAGAAGGGUGAGAAUCCCUUCCACCGAAUGCCUAAGGUUUCCUGAGGAAGGCUCGUCCGCUCAGGGUUAGUCAGGACCUAAGUCGAGGCCGAUAGGCGUAGACGAUGGACAACAGGUUGAUAUUCCUGUACCACCUCCCCGCCGUUUGAGUAAUGGGGGGACGCAGUAGGAUAGGGUGAGCACGCAGUUGGUUGCGUGUCUAAGCAGUGAGGUGGAGAACGAGGCAAAUCCCGUUCUCAUAUAA